CACACGUGGGAUACCUUAGUAACGGCGAGUGAAGCGGUAACAGCUCAAAUUUGAAAUCUGGCUCCCCUGGAGUCCGAGUUGUAAUUUGUAGAAGAUGCUUUGGGUUGUGGGUUCGGCCUAAGUUCCUUGGAACAGGACGUCAUAGAGGGUGAGAAUCCCGUACGUGGCCGAGGCCCGCGCCUAUGUAAAGCUCUUUCAACGAGUCGAGUUGUUUGGGAAUGCAGCUCAAAAUGGGUGGUAAAUUUCAUCUAAAGCUAAAUAUGGGCCAGAGACCGAUAGCGCACAAGUAGAGUGAUCGAAAGAUGAAAAGCACUUUGGAAAGAGAGUUAAACAGUACGUGAAAUUGUUGAAAGGGAAGCGCUUGCACCCAGACUUGGGCGCUGUCGAUCACCUUGAGUUCCUCUCGAGUGCACUCGACAGCGCACAGGCCAGCAUCGGUUCGGGUGGCUGGAUAAAGGCCGUAGGAACGUAGCUCCCUCCGGGGAGUGUUAUAGCCUACGGUGCCAUGCAGCCCAGCCGGACCGAGGACCGCGCCUUCGGGCUAGGAUGCUGGCGUAAUGGGUGUAAGCGACCCGUCUUGAAACACGGACCAAGGAGUCUAACAUCUAUGCGAGUGUUUGGGUGGUAAACCCAUACGCGGAAUGAAAGUGAACGUAGGUGAGAACCCCUUUGGGGCGCAUCAUCGACCGAUCCUGAUGUCUUCGGAUGGAUUUGAGUAAGAGCAUAGCUGUUGGGACCCGAAAGAUGGUGAACUAUGCCUGAAUAGGGUGAAGCCAGAGGAAACUCUGGUGGAGGCUCGCAGCGGUUCUGACGUGCAAAUCGAUCGUCAAAUUUGGGCAUAGGGGCGAAGACUAUCGAUACCACC
rnacentral:rRNA from 1 species